rnacentral:rRNA from 1 species
UGCUAUCGGAGUUCGAUUAAGCCAUGCGAGUCGAGAGGUGCAAGACCUCGGCAUACUGCUCAGUAACACGUGGACAACCUGACCUACGGAAGAGGAUAACCCCGGGAGACUGGGGAUAAUACUCUAUAGGCUAUGGAUGCUGGAAUGCUCUGUAGCUGAAAGGUCCGCCGCCGUAGGAUGGGUCUGCGGCCGAUUAGGUUGUUGUUGGGGUAACGGCCCAACAAGCCUGUAAUCGGUACGGGUUGUGGGAGCAAGAGCCCGGAGAUGGAUUCUGAGACACGAAUCCAGGCCCUACGGGGCGCAGCAGGCGCGAAAACUUUACAAUGCGGGAAACCGUGAUAGGGGAACUCCGAGUGCCCGUAAAAUCGGGCUGUCCACCAGUUUAAACAACUGGUGAAGAAAGGGCCGGGCAAGACCGGUGCCAGCCGCCGCGGUAAUACCGGCGGCUCGAGUGGUGGCCACUAUUACUGGGCUUAAAGCGUUCGUAGCUGGUUUGUUAAGUCUCUGGGG